rnacentral:rRNA from 1 species
GCUUACGGCCAUACCACCCUGAGAAUGCCUGAUCUCGUCUGAUCUCGGAAGCUAAGCAGGGUCGGGCCUGGUUAGUACUUGGAUGGGAGACCGCCUGGGAAUACCAGGUGCUGUAAGCU